rnacentral:rRNA from 1 species
AGAAUCAACGCUGGCGGCGUGCCUAACACAUGCAAGUCGAACGAGAAAGUGGAGCAAUCCAUGAGUAAAGUGGCGACCGGGUGAGUAACACGUGACUAACCUACCUUCGAGUGGGGGAUAACAUCGGGAAACCGAUGCUAAUACCGCAUAACAUCGCAAGAUCAAAGCAGCAAUGCGCUGGAAGAGGGGGUCGCGGCUGAUUAGCUAGUUGGCGGGGUAACGCCCACCAAGGCAAAGAUCGGUAGCCGGCCUGAGAGGGCGCACGGCCACACUGGAACUGAAACACGGUCCAGACUCCUACGGGAGGCAGCAGUGGGGAAUUUUGCGCAAUGGGGGAAACCCUGACGCAGCAACGCCGCGUGGAGGAUGAAGCCCCUUGGGGUGUAAACUCCUUUCGACCAAGACGAUAAUGACGGUACUGGUGGAAGAAGCACCGGCUAACUCUGCGCCAGCAGCCGC